UGGGUGUUGACUGACGGGCAGCUUGAGAGGGACAAGGGGAACCGGGAGAGGGUUCAGAGAAGAGACCCAGAGGUGAUGAAAUGGCUGGAAACUGAGCUCGGAGGCAAAGUCAAGGGACUGGAACCUGCCCCACCUGGAGCAGAGAGGGUGGUGAGGACAACCUCAUCAGACCUAGCCUCGUAGCCUAUGGAGUGCUGCCUCCCAGAAAGGUGGCCGGAUGAUCCAAGAGGGAGGACCGUCAUCUAAGUGGCUCUUCACUCCAACAUGUGACCAUCUGGCCAGAGAAAUUGUUCUUAAGAGUGUGAACUACCUGGCAGCUUCUAUUCCAGCCCUCUCCAUCCACCUUGUAAGAUCCUCUGACCUCCCACCAAAGGUUCAUUCAAGGCAGAAGCAACACAAUUCCAAAGGCAGGAUCCUGUUACCCUGAUAAUUGGCAUCGGACCAUUAAAGACCUCUUGACCAGUGGCUGGACACAGGACUACUUGGGGGUAAAGUCCCAGAAGCCAUGCUAGGUGCAGGGCUAGCAGGUCUCCAUUAGUUGACAUCCCUGAGUGUUUCUCAACAAUUUGAGCCAAUCCCCAUAUUGUGAAUAUCUUUAACUUAAUAAGAAGAACUCAUUUCCAACAUUCUUCAUGCUAAUAAAAAUUCACCAGUAAAAGCCCAGUUUGGACCAGCAAGUUGGCAAAGUCUUAGAUGCGAUCAAGAUCUGGAUACUCACAGGACGAGGGAAGGCUGACCCUGGAGCAUGGCCACCCUCUGCAGGACUUCCCGAGCUCACACCUUCACUUGGCUUCCUCCUUCCCUAGUUCC